rnacentral:rRNA from 1 species
UACGUAGGCAGCGAGCGUUGUUCGGAAUUACUGGGCGUAAAGAGUGCGUAGGUGGUUGGCUAAGUUUGGUGUGAAAUCUCCCGGCUUAACUGGGAGGGUGCGCCGAAAACUGGCGAGCUAGAGUGUGGGAGAGGGACGUGGAAUUCCUGGUGUAGCGGUGAAAUGCGUAGAUAUCAGGAGGAACACCUGAGGUGUAGACGGCGUCCUGGACCAUUACUGACACUGAGGCACGAAAGCGUGGGUAGCAAAC